UAAUCCCAAAAGCUAGCCCGACCACCCCAAAACAACAAACAACAUUUAUAAACCCAAAAACCCCAAUAAACACAAAUUAAACCAUUUUUCCCCCCAAGUAUGGGAGACAGAAAAGGAAAUAGGCGCUAUAAAAAAGUACCGCAAGGGAAAGCUGAAAGAGAAGUGAAACAACCCAGUUAAGACCAAAAAAGCAGAGAUUUAUCCUC
rnacentral:rRNA from 1 species